CGCCCUUACGCGGCAGCCCAGCCAGCAACCCCUCACACCCCCAACCCACGCAUGCUUGUUGGGAGCAACGCCGCGUGGAGGACGACGGCCUUCGGGUUGUAAACUCCUUUCGGGUGGGACGACCACGACGGUACCACCAGAAGCAGCCCCGGCUAACUCUGUGCCAGCAGCCGCGGUAAGACAGAGGGGGCAAGCGUUGUCCGGAGUUACUGGGCGUAAAGGGCGCGGAGGCGGUCUGCGGCGUCGCACUGAAAGCGCCCCGCUUAACGGGGCGAGGCGUGCCGAUACGCGCAGACUCGAGGCGAGCAGAGGGUGGCGGAAUUCCCGGGGUGGAGCGGGUGAAAUGCGUGAGAGAUCCGGAGGACGGCAGUGGGGGAGCCGGCCACCUGGGCUCGACCUGACGCUGCGGCGCGACAGGUCAGGGGAGCAAACCAGCUUAAGCAUUAACCGUGCACAUCUUAACUUUCACCACACGUCCACGCUCAAACACAGAGAUUAGACACAGAG
rnacentral:rRNA from 1 species